GGCCGCCUGGAGCUGAGCUAGAGCCUGCUGCAUCCUCUCCACCUUCUCCACAUAUACCUGUUUCUUCUUCAGCUGCACACACAGACAGAAAGAGGGAAUAGUUACAUUUUCUUGUGCUAUUUCUCCUUCACAUAAGACCAAACAGAUGGGGGAAGGACCACACUGUUCUGACCACAGGCAUUGCAGCUUUAAAGUCCAGUGGUGGAGCGCAGUGCAUUCAGCUCUAUCUCUAACUUCUCCUUCUCCCGCAGCGUCUCUUUGUCUAAACAUUCUUACUGCCACGUUGUGGGGAUCAUCUCUAGAGACUCCUGGCUCGCUCCCUGCUGGAUCUAAAAGAAGAAAAAACCAAUAACUCGCUACGAAGAUGCCUCAUCAAGCUGCUAACUGUUGAUUACCUCCAUUGACUAUUCUGUGUCCUUGAUGAGCUGUUUGUUUGCCAGCAACGCUGUGAAUUAACCUGGCUACCAGCAUCUCCUCGCAAGCUCUUCUUGCUCCUCCAGCCUGUACGUUCUGGUCCACUGGUCUGGUCCUCACGGAGCACCCACUCUCACCUGCACACCACAGCCCUCAGGUCCCUUGGCUUCCUGCUCAGUCCUUGUCCAUUCUUUGGUUCACUCAGCAUACUAGUGUUCUAUUAAAUAAACUUCUGUAUCUCACGUCAGUAAGGUCUGCAUCCCGGGGUCCUACCUCACACACCAUAACAACACCUAACCUAUUAUUACCCUUCCUUCAUCUGUCUUUGUGCUUAAACAGUGACCUCUGAUUACACAUGUUUUUUGUUUUUUCUUAUCCCUGUAAGUGUUCAUGUAACAAAGAUGUGUUUGCCGAUUAGUAGCAGCUACUAAAACUCUGGACAGAAGCAGCAUGUACUCAGGCUUGGGGAGUAACUGAAUGUACUGGAUGGUGUUAUGUAAUUAGGAUAUAAAAAAGGCUAACCUUAAAUUGCAGAGAAAAAGAUGUAAUCAGAUUACUGAUGCAUUUAGUAAAAAUUGGGAUUAUUAGUAGAAUUACAAUUUUAGCACUGUUCAAUAAAGAACAGUGCUCGCGCACUGCAACAUUUCACAAGUCUCACUUGAGUAAAACUGUAGCUAAUCUUGUGUCGAAAUCUGUUUCCCUUAAGCUGAAUCUAACCUUAUGCUAACCAUAAUUACUGAGGGAGGUGCAUAAUGUUUCGGCUAUUAAUCCAAACAUGAAUAACAAGGACAGGAACAGCUGGAAAAACAGUUCAUGGUUUUAGGUAGGUAGAACGUUAUUGAUCCUGCAGUGGGGAAAUUCCAGACUAGGAUGUUUUUUUCCUAUGUACUAAAACAAAGCACUAUCUGUUUACCUUGUAAAAGGAGCAUAUUUUAUGUUUGCUUUGAAAAAGAUGCUAUUCUGUAAUCCAGUACUUUAAUUUAUAAUAGAUAGGCCUGCAACCUGAAGUUGCUUUAUUGUUUUCAUUUCCUUUCAUUUGUUUGUUGUUUUUUUUAUUCAGUAGGUGGAAACAUUAUGUUAAAAAAUAUAGUGUGUUCAUAAUGUGCAUAUUAAAACAUAGCAUUUUCUUUUUGCCUGGUAAAAGGAGAAGAUUUGAUUAUUACUUUGUAAACUGUGGUUGUAUGUGGUGACUUUCAUUGUAGGUCUAUAGGCUACGUCUGAAUUUGCUUAAUGAAAAACAGGUCUUUCUUAAAAAAUACACUGAUAACACAUUGUUGAUAUUUCUUUUCUCAUGCCUUUAUUUGUAUAUUUGGUAUUGAGGUAAUCCAAAGUAAUGGAAUGUAAUCAAGUUACAUUACUUUACUAUUGUGAUAGUUGGAUAAAGUUACUGAUUACAUUUUUUAGGUUAUUUGUAACUGUAUCAUAAUACAGUUUUAAAGUAACUUUCCCAACCCUGCAUGUACUACAGCAGGACACAGCUAUGCAGACACUGAGGCCAUGUAAUGGGGUUGUGUGUUGUGCAUGUUUGAUAGGAAAUAAAACAUUCAGAGCAACCUUUGACAAAAUGUUCUAAAUCAAAUCAAAUGUCUUUGUUUGAAAUCAAGUGUAAAAAGGUGCCAAAGAACUUCCAGUAAAGUCAUGCAAGCUACUGUACCUGCAAUAUGUGGGCACAUUUAACCUGUCACCUCUUUUCCCACAAUACAUUUAUCACUUUUGAAAUUAGUAUAAAACUUGAGCAAAAUAAAAACAUAACAGGAAGCUGGCUUUACUAUAGUUUUGACUCUUAUUGCAUGGUUU